GCCUGCACUCCUCAGGAUCUUGUGCAACAAACAGUUCCUUCCACUCGUCUGAUCUCGGAAGCUAAGCAGGGUCCGGCCUGGUUAGUACUUGGAUGGAAGGCCACCUGGGAAUACCAGGUGCUGUAGGCU
rnacentral:rRNA from 1 species